GCGGGAAUAGCUCAGUGGUAGAGCAUCUGCUUCCCAAGCAGAGGGCCGCGGGUUCGAAUCCCGUUUCCCGCU
rnacentral:tRNA from 1 species